GAUUGAACGCUGGCGGCAUGCUUUACACAUGCAAGUCGAACGGCAGCGCGGGCUUCGGCCUGGCGGCGAGUGGCGAACGGGUGAGUAAUACAUCGGAACAUGCCCACUUGUGGGGGAUAGCUCGGCGAAAGCCGGAUUAAUACCGCAUGAGAUCUACGGAUGAAAGCAGGGGACCUUCGGGCCUUGCGCGAGUGGAGUGGCCGAUGGCAGAUUAGGUAGUUGGUGGGGUAAAGGCCUACCAAGCCUGCGAUCUGUAGCUGGUCUGAGAGGACGACCAGCCACACUGGGACUGAGACACGGCCCAGACUCCUACGGGAGGCAGCAGUGGGGAAUUUUGGACAAUGGGCGCAAGCCUGAUCCAGCAAUGCCGCGUGCAGGACGAAGGCCCUCGGGUUGUAAACUGCUUUUGUACAGAACGAAAAGAGCUGGGUUAAUACCCUGGUUUUAUGACGGUACUGUAAGAAUAAGCACCGGCUAACUAC
rnacentral:rRNA from 1 species